GGCCAGUUAGCUCAGUUGGUUAGGGUGUGGUGCUGAUAACACCAAGUCCCGGGUUCAAUCCCUGUAUUAGCCA